UACGUGGCUUGACGCAUCGAGUUUGAAAGCGAACGCAGGCUCCGCAAACAUCAACUCCAGGUGGCAGACUCUACUGUCAGCGCUGUUGUGCACUGAAGCCAAGUACUGCAUGCGCAAAUACGGCAACGCCCUGAUGUGUCUGUGCGUGUUAGCUACUUGGGCACACUGUCACCGCCACUCCACCCUUUGAUCUCCUCUCCCCCCCCCCACUUCCUCCCUCACUUCUCCACGCGCCUUAAGUCAGACGGCCAGUAGCAAGGGCGGCAACAAACUUAAAUCCUACGCUGUGCGCCCAUUCUGUCCUCACUGCGCUCACCUGCUCACUCUCUGGGAAGCCGCAUAGCAGCAGUGUAGGGACAGGCGCGCCAAUAUACACGCAAGCAGCUCUGUGCGGGCACGCACUGUGUUUCGGUUUUUUUCCUGCUUCCUUGUCCCGUUGAGCCUGGGAUGGAGGUGCAUAUUUAGCAAACAAGCGAAAAAGAAGCACCUUUGUAUUGGGCGCAAUGCAGGAUUGGCAGAUCGCCGUGCUCGUCGUCGUCAUCGUCGUCUUCGUGGCGCUGGCGACGCCGCUUAUCUUUCUUAUUUACCGCUUUGGUAGCAACCGACGCCGCUACUCCUCGAAAAGAACGAACACGACCACCUCCCGCUACGCCGAUAGCAGCUGUUGCGCCAAGCAUAACAUCGUUGACGCCGGAGAUGCCUUUGGCCAGCUGUUCCGCGGUGACCCGCGCAUUCAUCCCAGUACCCAUCUGCUUUACUUUCUGGACUUUCAAGGAGAGCUGCACUGGAUCGACUUCAAUAAGAAACCGGCAGCAAAGAUCGAUACCGAGUCGGCGCUGCAGCAGUAUAUUUUCGAAAACUUUCAUCCUAUGGUCGAAGAGGGCAACAGGGUGGUGCCUUUGCCCCCUGAGAUGUUGGCUCUGUCGUACAUAAACGAUCAUCAGUCGCUGGUAGUGCUGGACCUGAAUCGCCUGCUCGCCCGUGACGCCGAGUUCGGUGCACGGAUGCGGCACACCGCAGAACGCCCGUUGCUGUUAUCGCGACUUGUGGCAGACGUCGCCGAUGGGGCCGUGUUCACAGCACUAAGUCGUUACGGCUACACUGUCGGGGACGCUUCCGUGCCGUCCGUCACUCAAACAGGCAUGCAGUGCCCGGCACUUGUCGCGGCGUCACCACCCCAGCAGCGUCAUCAGCGGAUUGAUGUAAACCUUAGCACAUCUCGCGCAAAUCCAAUAGCCGCGGCUCCAGCAGUUUCAGCCUCUAUGCCCGACACACACGUCCCUCCGCCGACGGUCCGGCCGCCCGUCGCUCCCCAUCUGUCCCCGCCAUCGAACUUCAGCUCUCCCUAUGCGUGCGACGCUUCCGGCAUGGCUCCCGUACCUGUCAUUCACCCGUGCGAUACGCAUCACAUCACGACCAGCACCCCCGUCUCCAUCACGGCAGCCUCUUACACGGUACUGAACGCCAACGGCAGUCGCACGGAGCUUGACGCGAUUAGCACAGCGAGGAUUGAAGGGGCGCGGCUCCGGUGGGACCGACGACAGAGCCUUGUGGUGCCGUUUAUGUCAGGGGUUUUGUCAGGGUACCAGUGCGUCAUUGAUCCGGUCACGGAGGAGGCGACACUCUCCACGGAGUCUGCAGCGCGCGCCGCGAACGUCAACGGCGUGGAGUCCAUCGUGUGUCGGCGUGCCGACGCCCUAUACUACACCGUCGAGCGCGUGAACUCGACGCAGUGGCUGCCAUUUGACAAGGCCUUCUACCUCCCGGCUGGGCGGUGGUGUGUGCGGGCCCGCGCCACGCUGUACUGCGACAACAGCAGCAAAACGAUCGCGAAGGUCUUCACGGUGACUGUGAUUUGACGCUUUGGGAAAAGAAUGGCGGGAAAGGGGAGCUGCACGGGAUUAUGCACGCCGCCGCCUGAUUCUCCUGCGGCCCUACCUCUUUCAUGGCACUGAACGAACGCGCUUGCUUACUCACAUGGAUGUCGACUGUAUUGCAUGCCCUCCUUCUUUUUUCGUCAUGCUUUGAAAAACUGCUAAGGUGGCCGUGAUGACAGGGGGACGCACCUGACUGCGUGGUAUCACAGGAUCCAGUGCCCCCACUCUAUGUGUGCGGAGGCCAAGCAGCGCCCCUCCACCCCCCCCCUCUAUCCCUGCCAAAAUGUGAAACCACCCCUGGUGGUUGCAGGGUCAUGCGCCUACGACAUGGGGGGAGGUCAGAGCGAUGCAUCACUGCUGAUAUCGGCGGGCAGGUCCUGGAUAGCGUUGCGCCGGUGCGAGGUGCAACACUGCACACGUGUGUACCAUCCAUGUGAUUAGGCAGAGUGUCGGCGUGGCCCAAACGUACCUCACCCGGCCACAGCGAGGGAUGCACCAGGUGACGGAAGGCACCAUGGGAUCGGCUGUGGGGCGGCCUGCGAGGCGGUGUGUGGGCAUAGUUUGAGGAAGGGGUCGUGCUCGAUGACUGAGUCAGCGCAUGGCUUGUACCACGUGUCUGCAGCUGCUUCGCACCACGCCGACGGGGGCCUGUGACAGGACAGGUAGACUGGAGUGGGAACUCGUGCUGAAUUGAAGAACGAAGACGUUUUUUUUCGUUAGAAAGCUGAGGUGGCAGACGCUGGAAGCCUUCCGUAUUACCACUGCUACUACGACGUCGACGCAGCUGUGAGUGCCUCGAGUGCUUUCGAGGUGGCUGCGCCGGAGCUUACCUAUCUUUCCGCGUUUCUUCCUCUGUUUUCGUUGUGUCUCUGUGGUCUGCUCUCAGGUUUGAAUUCACGAUGGUGGGAAAGUUUUUCUCUGCUUUGAUAGAUGUCCUGCUCACUAUGCGUGUACCUGUGAUUCUGUGUGUAUAGGUAGACAUAUAUAUAUAUAUAUGUAUGUGUAUGUAGUUUUGUGCAUGUGUAUGUGUACACUCGUUCACUUGGGAUCUGGAUGCACGGUUCGUUCUUAUUGCCUUUUUUUUUGCUCGGGGGAAUGCAGAGGGGAGGGAGGGUCUGUUGACGCAUGAGGGGGAAAGGACAUGUGCUCGCUUCUUUUGUUUCAUCCACUUUUUUUCAGCUGCUUUCCCCACACACAGACGUAGGCCUCCUCCCCUCCUCUUUUUUUGCUAAACGACCAAUCCUCUGCUCACUUCUCUGAUGUCUUCCCUCCGGUCCUCUCAUGGCACAUGCACGGCAUAUACGAGGAUGUACAAUGGCAACG
rnacentral:misc_RNA from 1 species